UAUUUGUGAAUUGUGAAGAAGAAAAAAAGAAUAUAAAAAACAUAAAAUAUCGCAACUUGAUUUUAUGCUCGGUUAUUGAAGAGGAGAACAAUAACAACUCCGACGCAGAAGAGAGGAGAGAGAGCUAGAAAGACUACGCGGGACGCUUCUGACCCCCUAGCAUUAUCUCAAAAGGAAUUUAUGCAGAAGUUCCGCGUUUCUAAAGUGGCUUUUUAUUACGUUCACUGCGAGUGGUGAUACGAGGAGCACAUAUACAUCGCCAAUGUUGCGCUUAAUCGUGACUUUAAAAUCGGUGACUUCAGGUUACCAAUGCCUGGCCUGUAGCAACAAAAGCGUAGUUGUUAAAAAAAGCAAAUAAUCAAUUGUUGUAUGAAAGGUGUUCCAAAAGUUGGAAACAAAACUUUUGCAUCUAAUUGCUUCUCAGGUGAUAGUGGAUGACCCUUAGAGCCUUGGCUGAGCACAUCUUACCGCCAAAUCCCCUAAAAUAAAAUACAGUGGAAUGCAUUGCAAGGCAAAUAACAUUGGUCACUGGAGUCGCUGAUGAAUGGCUCGUUACGGCAAACCCUUUCAUGAAAAUUAUUCCGAUGCAAAAUUCUUCUUAUAAUUUCGGGAUUGCAUAUCUUCCUAAGUAAUUUUUCUGCUUCUUUUGCCAGACAUGGUCCACUUAAAUUUGAAUCAUGCUUAAUUUUUCGUACGAUUAAACGUUCAUUUGCGGGAAUUUCUUUUUGUAUUUUUUCCAUGUUUAAAAUGAUAAAUUACAAUUACGUGGAUUUCUAUUGAAGUUCGGUGAACCAUUGUAAAAAUACUUAACCGUCGCUUUCAAAUUUCAAAAGUACAUUUUAAUAUGUUUAUUACUUCAUCCCACGCAUAUUCGUGUUUCUAAAAGAAGUGCCAAAUGGCUUUUAUAAUGGUAAACCCCUGCACACGAAAUAACGUAGGUGAUCUGUCUUUUAAUUUUAUUUUUUGCAAAUUAUUUUCUAUUCAUUUCAUUUUGGAUACUUGUUAUUGUUUACCAUAUAUAGUUUGUUUCUCUUUUUCGCUGCAAUCUUCAUUCUUAAAACUUCCUAGGGUAUUUUGAUUAGGUCUUCGCAUGUUAUUAAUGACUAAAGAAAAUUUCUUUUGUCAAAAAUGUAAUUAUCGACUUUCUUCUGUGGGGCUAAAAAUAUAUUUUAAUUAAAAGGGAGAAGAAAACCAACAAAGCUUUAAGAAAAAAAACUAAAAAGCUAAGAAAAGGUAAUUAAUAUACAAAAAUUCAAACAUAUUUUUUCAUGCGAAAUUUAAGUCAUAAUUAAGUACUACACUGACUUUUUUAUUCCCAAUUAAGAGCUUUGACGGCCCAGAUGUAGUUUUGUUAGCGAGUUAGUUAUGAAGAGAUCUCUACCGCUGCUGGUUAUAUAAAAACAAAAGAAAAUCUUAUAUAAAAUUCUUAAUUGUUUUAUCAAACUUCCAAACUCUGUUUGAAAUUUUU